UGACGCCUCUAGCGUCACUAUGAAGACGCCAAAGGCGCCCCUCGGCGUCGCUAUAUCGACGCACUAGGACCUACAUUGCUUUAAGUGGGAAACUUUUGGCGUCAGUACUCAGACGCGAAGGGCAUGAGAUGUUUAUCGCUAUGAAAUCACGUUCAAGAAGUCUCAUUCAGCGCACAUCGCGAUAUUUGCCAUCAGUUUACAUGUGCCACAGGUUGGCUGAAAAGACAUGAAGGAAGCAGUCAGCCCAGUCGUGUUUGUGGAGAGGUAUUCCUUCAGAAAUGGAGAAGAUAGAAAGCUGCGGAGGCAGACAUUUGCAGCAGAUUGUUUGCAGAUAACGCUGUACUCCAUCAUGCACAAGGACUCACCUCUUUAACUCUUUAUCCCCCACACACACAGAAAUGGUCCCUGGAUCAGUGUUUAGACUUUGCAGUGGUUUGAUUUUUGCAGAAAAUGCAACUUUGUUUUAAAUU